CUCCGGUGUUCAUCAGAGACAUGACUUUGGGAAGGAACUGCCUAUGGUGACUGGAUUUUGGAAAAAGCCCUCUGUUGCACCGACCUAAAGAGAGUCUGGACCAGCAUGGACGGAGUGGCUUUCUUUACUUUCUCAGCUGUCAUUGUCUAGCUACAGCUGUAGGCGUGAUGGAUGGAAAUGUGUUCAUUCUGCUUGCAUCCUCAAGCACAUGUAAAGGUACAGAAAUGACAUCACAGGAGAUCGCCCUCUAGAGGCCGUAGCUCAUUUAAAUGGUCUGGUGUCAUUUUCUGCUUCUGUAAGGAAGCAUAGUGAUGGACCAGAGCUGCAACAUAAACUAUUUCUCUGUUGUUUCUAAACAAUGUUAUCUCUUAUUUGGCUUUAGUAAAUUGAACUGAUGAUUUUCAAUGUCCACUUUAAAGCACCUUUCUAUCUCCGUCUUUCAACAGUACUGCAUAUACAUACUUCCUCAACAAAGUAACAUGCUUAUAACAGUUGGAUAGU